UUAAAAAGCUCGUAGUUGAAUUUCGGGGUCAGUAGGUCGGCCGUGCCACUGGUAUGAACUGGUUUUACUGAUUCCUCCCUCUUGAAGAACUGUAAUGCCAUUAAUUUGGUGUUGCAGGGAAUCAGGACUGUUACUUUGAAAAAAUUAGAGCGUUUAAAGCAGGCUUUAGCUUGAAUACAUUAGCAUGGAAUAAUGAAAUAGGACGUUUGAUCCUAUUUUGUUGGUUUCUAGGAUUGACGUAAUGAUUAAUAGGGAUAGUUGGGAG
rnacentral:rRNA from 1 species